GACGAACGCUGGCGGCGUGCUUAACACAUGCAAGUCGAACGAUGAAGCCGGAGCUUGCUCCGGUGGAUUAGUGGCGAACGGGUGAGUAACACGUGAGCAAUCUGCCCUUGACUCUGGGAUAACUGCGGGAAACUGUAGCUAAUACCGGAUACGACACCUUGGGGCAUCCCAGGGUGUGGAAAGAAUUUCGGUCAAGGAUGAGCUCGCGGCCUAUCAGCUAGUUGGUGAGGUAAUGGCUCACCAAGGCGACGACGGGUAGCCGGCCUGAGAGGGUGACCGGCCACACUGGAACUGAGACACGGUCCAGACUCCUACGGGAGGCAGCAGUGGGGAAUAUUGCACAAUGGGCGAAAGCCUGGUGCAGCGACGCCGCGUGAGGGAUGAAGGCCUUCGGGUUGUAAACCUCUUUUAGCAGGGAAGAAGCGAAAGUGACGGUACCUGCAGAAAAAGCACCGGCUAACUACGUGCCAGCCGCCGCAGUAAGAC
rnacentral:rRNA from 1 species